AUGUACCUACGGGAGGCAGCAGGGAAUAUUGCACAAUGGGGGAAACCCUGAUGCAGCGACGCCGCGUGAGUGAAGAAGUAUUUCGGUACGUAAAGCUCUAUCAGCAGGGAAGAAAAAAAGUCCUUUGGACUUUGGACGGUACCUGACUAAGAAGCCCCGGCUAACUACGUGCCAGCAGCCGCGGUAAUACGUAGGGGGCAAGCGUUAUCCGGAUUUACUGGGUGUAAAGGGAGCGUAGACGGCAGCGCAAGCCUGGAGUGAAAUGCCGGGGCCCAACCCCGGAACUGCUUUGGAAACUGUGCAGC
rnacentral:rRNA from 1 species